rnacentral:sRNA from 1 species
GAUAUCAGGGUCAAAAUGUCAGAAAUCUGAAGCAAGCUUGCUUGCAAAAGGAUUUUUGACCUUGGAACCCGCCAAAAGUAUGAAUAAGCAGCCAUUUUUCGUAGAAAAAUGAGCGAAUUAUGAAUGUUUUUGAAGAUUGCGAGAGUGCAAAGCACGAAGCAAUCCGGUA